CGCUGCGCCCCCCGCCGUCCCCGGGAGCCCCGGCACACAAAGGCGGGCGGGGCGGCGGGGGGUGUGCCCGGCCCGCCGCCCCCGGUGCCCGCACCUGCCCUCCGCCGCCGCACCGGGCCGGGGCGCGGUCCCCGCUUUGUCUGCGUCGGGCCGGCACGUGCGAGCGCCGGGACCCGCCGCCCCUCGGAGCCCCCCGGCCCGGCCCGGCGCGAUCCCCCGCCGGGCAGCGAGAACCGGGAACGGGGGGUCCGCGCACGGCGGGGAGGGCCCCCGGGGGCUCCCCGAUGGUGGGCCCGGCCCCGGUCCCUCGCCAUUGUCUGGAGCCGGAGUCGCGGGCAGGGGCGCCCGGGGAUCGGGAGAUGGGGAGGGGAUCGGGGCGCCCCCAGCCCGGUCUCGCUCCCCGACCGGCGCCGCCGGUGCCCCGACAGCGGGCGGUCCCGCUGCCCGGCGGGGCGAGGCCUGCGACCGCGGGGGCACCAAGCAUCCCACGCCGCCCCGCUAUCCCCGGAUCCCCCAAGUUCCGUGGGUGCCACAUCCCUGGGGGGCCUCGGUGCAUCGGCCUGGGAUUGCCCCGGUGGGCUGGGAUUGCUGCAGACUUGGGGUGGGGGGUGGCUCUCUCCGGUGGGACCCCUCGGCUGCCCACCCUGCCUGUCCUGCCUCAGUGCAGGGCACCCGGUUCUGCGGUGCUGGGGCCCGGCUGGAUCCAGGCCCUGCUGCAGGGAGCAUCACCCCCCGCCAGCCCGUGUCCCCCAGCGCCCACCCGCAUCUCCCACUCCACCCUGGUGCCGUGGGGCUGGCUGGGGCCGUCUGGGGCCGUCUUCCCCGAGACCCCUCGUUGCCCCUCAGGGUGCCUGUGCCGUGCGGGGAUGCUGCCGGUACGCCAGGGUGCAGCUCGCUGGGCAGAGCCGGGGCACUGGGCAGUGUGGGUGCUGGGUGCAUGCUGUGCAUGAUGCUCUCGGAGAGGGCAGAGAGGGGGCUACCGUGCACCCACCACACAGCUGGGGCACCCACCUCCCAGCUGGGCUGCACCCACCGCCCAGCCGGGCACACGCCCAUCUUUAGCCGGGUCCCUACUCUCGGGACAGGGCUGUGUAGUGCUGUGUGGGCCUGGGUAUGUCCUGGUCCCCACCAGCCCUGCCGUCUCCGUGGGGCCCCGCGGUCCCGCUGGCAGCCCAAGGGCGCUGUGGGCAAGCUCCGUGCGUGUUGCCGGCCAGGCGGCAGCUGUCAGCUCUGGGUACAUCUCGCUUCCCGGCAUCCGCUGCAAAGGAGCCGUCCCUGCCAAAGCUGCUGAGAGCAGCAAAAUCGGUUCCCGGGAAGGCGAGUGCUGAUGCCGGGUCCCCCCCCCUGCCUCUCCAGCGUUGAGCCCGGCCGGGCAGUGAUCCCUGUUCAUCCCCGUCCUCGGAACUGAGAUUGCCGUCGUCCCCAGCUGCUCCAUCCCAUGGUCACCGGGGUGCCAGCAUCCCCGCUGCAGGGCCCGAUGCCGGGGCGGCUGCAUCCCACCCUGCCAGCCUCCACCCCGCGGCCCUGCGCUCCCCCGAACUGCUGCUGUCCUCCCCCAUUCCUGGGGGAUCAGGGGCUACAUUUGCCACCCUUCCCCGGCACAGGCAUCACAGACGGCACUUUGCAGCUGUUCCAGGCCAGGAAGCUGGCGCCGGCUGGGGCGGCCGAUUAGCGGGAUCGGGAUGUGCGGAUUAAAGUCAAUCUUGUUGGUGCAAUUA